CGACCCCCGCGUGGAGGAUAAAGGUCUUCGAUUGUAAACUUCUGUUAAGGGUGAAGAAAGGCCACACUUCUUAAUAAAAGUGUGAAAUGACGGUAGCCCUAGAGAAAGCCACCGGCUAACUACGUGCCAGCAGCCGCGGUAAAUACGUAGGGUGCUAGCGUUAUUCGGAGUGAUUUGGGCGUAAAGGGUGCGCAGCCGGCUUAUCAAGUCAAUCAUUAAAUCUCCCGGCCUAACCGGAAUCCGUGAUAGAAACUGAUAGGCUUGAGGGUGGAAGAGAGAAGUGGAAUUCUCGGAGUAGCGGUAAAAUGCGUAGAUCUCGAGAGGAACACCGAUGGCGAAGGCAGCUUCUUGGUCCACAUCUGACGCUCAUGCACGAAAGCGUGGGGAGCAAACAGGAUUAGAUACCCUGGUAGUCCACGCUGUAAACGAUGAUCACUAGACGUCAGAACCGCUUUGCGGUUUUGGUGUCGUAGCUAACGCGUUAAGUGAUCCGCCUGGGGAGUACGGUCGCAAGAUUAAAACUCAAAGGAAUUGACGGGGGUCCGCACAAGCGGUGGAACAUGUGGUUUAAUUCGAUACUACGCGAGAAACCUUACCUGGGUUUGACAUGUGCAUGACCGCCGUAGAGAUAUGUUUCUCUAGCGCAAGCUAGGGCAUAAACACAGGUGAAAAAGGG
rnacentral:rRNA from 1 species